UACUGUGCUACAUGAGACUAGUGUCCUCAUC
rnacentral:piRNA from 1 species